rnacentral:rRNA from 1 species
UGGGGAAUAUUGCACAAUGGGGGGAACCCUGAUGCAGCAACGCCGCGUGGGUGAAGAAGUAUUUCGGUAUGUAAAGCCCUAUCAGCAGGGAAGAAGAUGACGGUACCUGACUAAGAAGCCCCGGCUAAAUACGUGCCAGCAGCCGCGGUAAUACGUAUGGGGCAAGCGUUAUCCGGAUUUACUGGGUGUAAAGGGAGCGCAGGCGGCGCGGCAAGUCAGAUGUGAAAGCCCGGGGCUCAACCCCGGGACUGCAUUUGAAACUGCCGUGCUGGAGUGUCGGAGAGGCAAGUGGAAUUCCUAGUG